CCAGGAAAAAGUAAAAAUCAUCGUUUUACAGAAAAAGUUCAUAAAGAGUUGCCUAACUAGGAUGUAUGGCAUACUCCAGUUACAAUCAUUACAGAAUGGUUGCAGCUAUUAGGGAAAACUAGGGAUGAUCAUUACAGAAUGGUUGCAGCUAUUACAAUCGCAAACUUUCACCGAAUGCCAUGCAUUUCCUUGUCUGGUUGCAAUCUGUUGGUGCCAGUGUAUAUUACAACAAUUUUCAGAAUUCAGGAUGUUUGAUGUAAAACCUGAAUUCUUGGUGCCAGUGUAUAUUACAACAAGGUUUUACAAAAUCUAUAAAUUGAUGACACUAAAUCUGAACACCUAUAAAUCUAUUGAACCACGAACAAGACGUCGCCGUCGCCGUCGAGCUCACAAGGGGGAACCUUUAGCUUGCUUGUGCCGUUUGGCUCAUCGGCUCCCCUAUCAUCUCUAGUUGGCGCAGCAACAGCAUCUCCAAACCUGCUAGCGAGUGCAGGAACAACACAUUCAGUAACAUUUAACAUUUAGUAAAAAUGGCACAAAUCGGCUGCUGCAAAGCUGGGGAACAACCUCAGGGGAGAAGCCAUCGGGCCGAGGGGCUGGAGGAGCUCCUCUACACGUAGUGCUGCUGUUCAUUUGUCUGAGCUGCUGCUCCUCCUCUGCUACAGUUGCUGCUCCUCUGCUGGAGCUACUCUUCCACCGGUGAAGCUUUGCCCAUCACUAGAAUGAGCAAACUGAAGUUCAGAAAUUAAGAAGAAAUGCAAGAUGGCAGGAGAAGUGGAAAGGUGUACCUUUUUUUUUACUCCGGCGAGCUCCUCCACCUUGAGCGCGCAGCCAUCGGUGGAGUGGAAAAGGGUCACCCGUGCUUCCUUGUUCUCGGCCGGCACUGUCCCCCGCGUUCUCCAGCUUCGUGGAAUCGUGGUCGACGGAUGUGGUCUAUGACGGACAGAGGUGGACGGGGAUUAAGGACUGCAGACGAUGGUCUCCAAAAAUCGAACCAUCAAAUUCCUCUGCGCGCGGAAGGGAACGAGGCGACGGCGGUGCGGCGCCGGGGAGAGGCGGUCCCGUGGGAUGGCGGGGGCGGGGGAGGAAGGAGGGAGUGAGGCGCCAUGGGAUGGGGUAGCGGGGAGGGAGCGAGGCGCCACGGGACAGGGGGAGGGAGGAGGGAGCGAGGCGCCAUGGGACGGGGGGCGAGUGAAGAGAGGAGGGAGCCCGUCGCCGAAUUGAAGAAGAGCGA
rnacentral:lncRNA from 1 species